GGGGGUAUAGCUCAGUGGGAGAGCAUUCGACUGCAUAUCGAGGGGUCUCCGGUUCAAUCCCGGCUGCCCUCC